AUCCAAAGAGCACCAGGCGACCACGAACCAACCGUUCCCUCUUCCAUCGCACGCCCCAGAUGCGAUCUCCCGUCCCGUGCCUCUCCCCCGUCCCCGCCGUCGCCGGCGCCCCGGCGGCUCCUUCCUCGCCGCCACACCUAUCCCCUCCCACCUCCUCGCCCCCCGCCACCGCUUUCUCAUGCCCUGGAGACUUUGCCUUGCCACCCCCGAGUCGAGGAUCCAAACUUUCCCCCCUCGGCGCCGGCGACCCGGCGUCUCCGGCCUUCCUCCCCGCCGCAUGCCUAGCCCUUCCCCACUUCCCUGCCUACCCGCCUCCGCUUCCACCUUCCCCCCUUCCCGUCCCCAAACCGCGGAUCCAGAUUUGCCCCCUCCCCCGGGCCGGCGCCGGCGCCAACAGCGGCUCAAAAAACGGGAUCUUUCGUCCCUCUCCAGCCGGUCGACCUGAUCUCCCGUUUCAGCUGGCUACCCCGAAGGCCAACGGCGUCAGGCCGGUCCAGAUCUGGCGGCUCUACUCCGGCGACCUUCUGUAUGCAGUGCUGUGAUGAAUCACAAGGCCGGUAUCUGACUACGAGACUGGUUGGAUCCAUCGCUUAAUCAUGCUGUUGUGCCAUCUUCUCUUCUCAUACUUUCAAGAGCUUUUACCCUGGCUGGGAGAAUGAAACCCAUGGAUGCUGUUGUAGCAACAGUGUCUUCUUUGCCAGAUGAAGUUGUGGAUACAAUUGGGACAGUAUUGCCAUCUGAAGAUUCGGUUUCUGAGAGGAGGAGAAAACUGAAAUUCCUUGAGAUGCAGGAAGAACUUAUCAAGGAGGAGAGAAGAAGAAAGAGAAAGAAGAGAAGGCAAAACAAAAGAAGGAAGAAAAAGCAAAUCUCACAGAACAGGGGGCUGCUGAAGAAGAUUUGGCUUUAAAGGAAAUGACUGGCCCUACUGCUAGGGAAGAAGAAAUGAUAGAAGCAAAACGGCAUGACACACUUGACCAGGAGCAGCUCUGUAAUAUCAGUCGAGCAUUGGCUGUGCUGGCAUCUUCAUCGUCUGUUAGCAAGGAGCAUCAAGAGUUCCUGAGCCUUGUCAACAAGGAGGUUGAUGCUACGCUUCGGGAAUUGGAAAAGGAGAUUGAUGAUGUGGAUAAACAUAUCAGAAACCGCUGGCAACUGCUUGAUAGGAGAACAUACCCCUGGAGGAGGCAUUCGAGAACCUGAGAUGCAGCCACCGAACAGAUGCACCAGCACCUCUAAUCUUUCGGCCCAAGCAAGCUCAAAGAGAUGGUGGAGAGCAACCAAACUAGCUAGGGUGGCCUGAUGAGGUCCUGUAUGAGGCUUUGCUUCUGAUUCAUAUCAUAUUAGGUCUUGUAUGAUGAUGCGUGUGUGGUUGAUGCUCACGUACUAGCUAAGGCAUUCAUUGCUUGCUCAGUGUUCCCGUUGUUGGUGGAAUUAACUGGAUGCACAAAAUAUUUCAGCAACAUAUGCCAAAAGGUGCUGCUGCUGCUACCUUGCUGCUAUGCAAUUGUCAGCGUACUCUGAUGAGAACAUGCCUCCUGAAGGAUUGCUUGAGUUGUGGUUACACUUGUUGAAUUUAUGUCCUAGUGUCGAACAUGGUCUGCACUGACGAAGUGACGAUGGUGAAUCAGUUGCUGAAGCUGAGGAAGAUGGAUCAUUUCCAGAUAUGCAUCUGCACGCCAAGGAGCUGGAGCUGUAGCUGAAUAUGCAUCUGCACGCCAAGCAGCUGCGACGGCCUUGCACAAGAAGGUGCAGUCAGCGAGCAAAUCUUUCAAGUUGAGAAGAUUGAAUUGCAUGACCCAGCUUGGGCUGGGUGAUAUGGCUUUUCAGGAACUCUGCUCGCGCGUGCCCUCUCCUCUCCUCUCUGUGUACAGAGGGAUGGGGCUUGGCGUGAAGACCACGCGGACCCCUCGGUAUCCGUUGGAUCAUUAAAUUUACCACGGGGCCGCGCGCGGUGAAAGAGGCGACGGCUCCUCAGCCCCGAGGCGUCUCUCUCUCUCUCAAUGGGCACAGAGCCUUCCACACACAGCAGCCAAGCCAAGCCAAGGCUUGGACCGACGAUGAACCAACCGAAUCGGCGCAGCAAGAUGCACCAGCAAAGGAAGGGCGCGGCGCCCCCAGGCCAAGGAGGCGGCGGCCCCACAUCGCUCGAACCCUCGCUCAAUGACGCGUGGGCCCGCCUCCUCCAACUGCAACGGCCCCCAUCGCGCCUCCUCCCGCCGGCCGCGGUACCAGGCAGGCUGACAUGUGGGCCCGCCACGCCGCCGGUAUAUAUACCGGUGUCGGUGUGCCCCCUCUGUCUAUCCUCCUCCCACCGCCACAUCUCCCCCAUCUGCCACGGAUCGCUCGCCGGAGACGCCCGCCGCCACAGAUCGCUCGCCGGAGACGCCCACCGCCACAGAUCGCUCGCAGGAGACGCCCACCACCACCGGUUGGACCUCCUGGUUAUCAAUGGCCGCCGUUCUCCAUGGUGCUCGCGCAGGCCGCGGCGGCCCUGGCCGCGCUCAGGGGGGGCAGAGGGGCGCCGCCGUGCAGCAGGGCCCGCCCCAGGAAGCAGCCCCCGUCCCCAACCCCAACCCCCCCACAGUGGGCUUAUUGGAGGCCUGGAAACGAGAAUCUUUCCAAGAAGAACAAGAACUAUGAUCAACAACUGAGAAUUUACAGGCGCCUAGAGAACUCCCAUCGUGUUAAUAAGAUGGAGCUCGCUUACUUCACAAUUCCUGAAGGUCUUCUAAUUCAGCCGGCUCACAUUGUGAAUAAGCUACGGGAUAUAGUUUCUCUGUAUAAUAUGAUGAUGCCAUUACGGCAGAGGGCUCUAUAUAAAUAUCUUGAUGGCUACUCUGGUAAAGAGACAGACAAAAUCAAUAAGAUUCUCGUUAAGACUGUACUGUGUGUUGACGACAAAAUUGCUGAAAUCUUGGCGGCGGGGUGGUACUGCCCUCCGCGUCCCAAUGUUUUUGAUGAUCUUCCGAGGUUAAAUUGAUGGUUCGCUUCCUGAAUGCUGUUAAAGAAUGAUAAUCCAAAGUAUUUCUAGUUACCAUCUUUGUUACUGGUCCUCUUCCUCGAAUGCUGUUAAAGAAUGAUAAUCCAAAGUCUUUCUAGUUGCUAUCUUUGUUGCUGUAGGUCCUCUUCCUCGAAUGCUGUUAAAGAAUGAUAAUCCAAAGUAUUUCUAGUUAGUAUCUUUGUUACUGACGCUGUUACUCUAGGAUUCUACUACAGAAUAUUGCUCAGAAGUCUUGCUGAUGCUGCUUGUAUGGAAUGCCACCGUGUAGAUGCUGCUCUUAUGGAAUGCCACCGUGUAGAAGCUGCUCGUAUGGAAUGCCGCUGUGUAGAUGCUGGUCGUAUGGAAUGCCGCCGUGUAGAUGCUGCUGCAGAAUCAUACUUGUGAAAUCGUUGUGAAUAUUAUGAUGUUACUGGACAAAUAUUGUUUAGGUUUCUACUGCUACCGCUUGAACAGCUUAUUGUCAGCUUGAGCACAUUGCUGUAUUACAUUGUUUUCGGUGAAACAUGUGGGGUGGCAUGCUACCUCGUCAUUAGUUUUA